UACGUAGGGUGCGAGCGUUGUCCGGAAUUAUUGGGCGUAAAGAGCUCGUAGGCGGUCUGUUGCGUCCGCUGUGAAAACUCGGGGCUUAACCCCGAGCCCUGCAGUGGAUACGGGCAGAACUAGAGUGCGGUAGGGGAGAUUGGAAUUCCUGGUGUAGCGGUGGAAUGCGCAGAUAUCAGGAGGAACACCAAUGGCGAAGGCAGAUCUCUGGGCCGUAACUGACGCUGAGAGACGAAAGCUAGGGGAGCGAAUGGG
rnacentral:rRNA from 1 species